GGGGAAUAUUGGAAAAUGGGCGCAAGCAUGAUCCAGCCAUGCCGCGUGGGUGAAGAAGGCCUUCGGGUUGUAAAGCCCUUUUGUUGGGAAAGAAAAGCAGCCGGCCAAUACCCGGUUGUUCUGACGGUACCCAAAGAAUAAGCACCGGCUAACUUCGUGCCAGCAGCCGCGGUAAUACGAAGGGUGCAAGCGUUACUCGGAAUUACUGGGCGUAAAGCGUGCGUAGGUGGUGGUUUAAGUCCGUUGUGAAAGCCCUGGGCUCAACCUGGGAACUUCAAUGGAUACUGGAUCACUAGAGUGUGGCAGCGGGUAGUGGAAUUCCCCGUGUAGCAGUGAAAUGCGUAGAGAUCGGGAGGAACAUCAGUAGCGAAGGCGACUGCCUGUUCCAACACUGACACUGAGGCACGAAAGCGUGGGGAGCAAACA
rnacentral:rRNA from 1 species